UUGCAGUUAAUUAAGCCGACUAGCCCUCUGUACCUGUGGGAGGCUGGUGUGCAAUGGCUGCAUACAGCAAGUCACUGGUUGUGUAACGCGCUUUGUCUUUCCCGUGCAAAGUGCUCCAAGGGACCUCUGAGACAUUG
rnacentral:snoRNA from 13 species